GGAGAGUUGGGUGAGUGGCUUAAACCACCGUCCUGCUAAGACGGAGAACCUCAAAAGGGUUCCGCAAGUUCGAAUCUUGCACUCUCCG
rnacentral:tRNA from 1 species